rnacentral:rRNA from 1 species
AUUGAACGCUGGCGGCAGGCCUAACACAUGCAAGUCGAGCGGAUGAAGGGAGCUUGCUCCUGGAUUCAGCGGCGGACGGGUGAGUAAUGCCUAGGAAUCUGCCUGGUAGUGGGGGAUAACGUCCGGAAACGGGCGCUAAUACCGCAUACGUCCUGAGGGAGAAAGUGGGGGAUCUUCGGACCUCACGCUAUCAGAUGAGCCUAGGUCGGAUUAGCUAGUUGGUGGGGUAAAGGCCUACCAAGGCGACGAUCCGUAACUGGUCUGAGAGGAUGAUCAGUCACACUGGAAGUGAGACACGGUCCAGACUCCUACGGGAGGCAGCAGUGGGGAAUAUUGGACGAAGGGCGAAAGCCUGAUCCAGCCAUGCCGCGUGUGUGAAGAAGGUCUUAGGAUUGUAAAGCACUUUAGGUUGGGAGGAAGGGCAGUAAGUUAAUACCUUGCGGUUUUGACGUUACCAACAGAAUAAGCACCGGCUAACUUCGUG